rnacentral:rRNA from 1 species
UACGUAGGGUGCGAGCGUUAAUCGGAAUUACUGGGCGUAAAGCGUGCGCAGGCGGUUCGUUGUGUCGGUGGUGAAAUCCCCGGGCUUAACCUGGGAAUGGCCAUGGAAACUGGCGAACUGGAGUGUGGCAGAGGGGGGUGGAAUUCCGCGUGUAGCAGUGAAACGCGUAGAGAUGCGGAGGAACACCGAUGGCGAAGGCAGCCCCCUGGGCUAGCACUGACGCUCAGGCACGAAAGCGUGGGGAGCAAACAGG